UAGCACCAGCUUUGUUAAUGAGAGAGACUAAGUCCUUGUUAACCUUACCCACCAAGACCAUGGACACGAUCUCCAUGGUCUUAGCAUCAGUGACGCGUACGCCCUCGUGGAAGAGAGGCUGGAUGUUGAGGAGUUGGAGCCAGUGGUUGAUCUCAGGCCCUCCUCCAUGGACAAGAACAGGACGAAGGCCAACACAAGAAAGGAGGACGAGGUCACUGACCACCGAAGCCUUAAGCUCAGGAACCUUCAUAGCAGCGCCGCCAUACUUGACGACGAUGGUUUUACCCCUGAAUUUCUGGAUGUAGGGAAGGGAUUCCGACAGAAUCUCCACACGGAAGCGAUCGGGAGACUCCGACUGGGGUGUGGAGGUGGCUGUUUUGUGGGUGGUCGGCGACGAUAAGGAUGUUGCUUUGACACUGAGAGAGACCGUCUUGGGUGCAGAACGAGGCAAAAGGAAAGUGAGGUUGGAGGGAUUGAGAUUUCUGAGAUUAGGAGAUAGGAAAGAAGAGGAAAGACGGGAACUUGUAGACGAUAGAUUCAAGGGUCUGGACGCCGCCGCCAUCUCCCA
rnacentral:misc_RNA from 1 species